rnacentral:rRNA from 1 species
GACGAACGCUGGCGGCAUGCCUAACACAUGCAAGUCGAACGAGACCUCCGGGUCUAGUGGCGCACGUGUGCGUACCGCGUGGGAACUUGCCCUUAGGUUCGGAAUACCUCAGAGAAAGAUGAGCCUAUACCGGAUGAUGUCUUCGGACCUAUGAUUUAUCGCCUUUAGAUGGGCGCGCGUUGGAUUUGCUGGUUGGUGGGGUAAAGGCCUGCCAAGGCGAGGUUCCAUAGCUGGUCUGUGAGUAUGAUCCGCCACACUGGAGCUAAGACACGGCCCAGACUCCGACGGAAGGCAGCAGUAGGUAAUAUUGUACAAUGGGGGAAGGCCUGAUGCAGCAGUGUCGCGUAAGUGAUGAAGGCCGUAGGGUUGUUAAGCUCUUUUACCCGAGAUGUUAAUGACAGUACCGGGAGAAUAAGCUCCGGCUAACUCCGUG